rnacentral:rRNA from 1 species
AUUGAACGCUGGCGGCAUGCCUUACACAUGCAAGUCGAACGGCAGCACGGGGCAACCUGGUGGCGAGUGGCGAACGGGUGAGUAAUGCAUCGGAACGUACCUUUCAGUGGGGGAUAACGUAGCGAAAGUUACGCUAAUACCGCAUAUUCUGUGAGCAGGAAAGCAGGGGAUCGCAAGACCUUGCGCUGAUUGAGCGGCCGAUGUCAGAUUAGCUAGUUGGUGAGGCAAAGGCUCACCAAGGCGACGAUCUGUAGCGGGUCUGAGAGGAUGAUCCGCCACCCUGGAACUGAGACACGGUCCAGACUCCUACGGGAGGCAGCAGUGGGGAAUUUUGGACAAUGGGGGCAACCCUGAUCCAGCCAUGCCGCGUGAGGGAAGAAGGCCUUCGGGUUGUAAAGCUCUUUCGGCCGGGAAGAAAUCGCACGGGCUAAUACCCUGUGUGGAUGACGGUACCGGAAUAAGAAGCACCGGCUAACUACGUGCCAGCCGCCGCAGUAAAAC